GUAGCCAAGGAUGACUUGCCGGCAUUAUAUUUCUUGGCCCGCCGGCAAGUCAUCUGGGGCUACGC